UACGUAGGGGGCGAGCGUUGUCCGGAAUCAUUGGGCGUAAAGGGUGUGUAGGUGGUCCUCUUUAGUCUUCUGUUAAAACCUCGGGCUCAACCCGAGAUCUGCAGAGGAAACGGAGAGACUCGAGGGUGCGAGAGGUGAAUGGAACUCAUGGAGUAGGGGUGAAAUCCGUUGAUAUCAUGGGGAACACCAAAAGCGAAGGCAAUUCGACUGGCGCAUUUCUGACACUGAAACACGAAAGCGUGGUGAGCGAACGGG
rnacentral:rRNA from 1 species